rnacentral:rRNA from 1 species
UACGUAGGGGGCAAGCGUUGUCCGGAAUUAUUGGGCGUAAAGCGCGCGCAGGCGGUUCUUUAAGUCUGGUGUCUAAGUGCGGGGCUCAACCCCGUGAUGCACUGGAAACUGGGGAACUUGAGUGUAGGAGAGGAAAGUGGAAUUCCACGUGUAGCGGUGAAAUGCGUAGAGAUGUGGAGGAACACCAGUGGCGAAGGCGACUUUCUGGCCUAUAACUGACGCUGAGGCGCGGAAGCGUGGGGAGCAAACAGG